UUUUCUCAAAACUGCUCAGCACCUGGGGCCCAGUGAGGGGAUGGUGCAUCAUGGGACUGCUGGGUAGGUCAGUGGCUGAGUGUGCAACCCUGAAAGGAGCUGAGAGAAGUGAUGGGAAAAUGGUUCAGGUGCUCAGCCCUGUGGCCUGGGCCCUGGAUGUGGAUUUUAUGGAAUAGGUGCUACGUGGAGGAAUCCUGAGUCAUGGCCAAACAGCAAAUGCCAGCAAGAGUAGAGUAGGAGGCAUUUCUGUGUACACUUUGGGAAAAAGUCCAUUCCUCACUUGGUUUCAUUCCUGGCCUGAGCCACUGUGUCCUCCACCUGAAGCCUUAACCUCUCCAUUACUGACUGGAUCCCAAAGUGCCACAGUUCACCUGCGUGAGGACGGGGUCAAAGACAAGAAAACUGAAAGUGAGAGGCUAAGUCAUUUGCUGAGGUCAUAUGACAUCUAAAUGGCAGAGCUCGGAAACCUCAGGGAUUAGAGUGAAGUGGCCACUUGAUAAUUUCUGCUGGAACAUCCAUUUGCAUUAUACAGCUGGUGAAAAGGAACUACUGCUUUUCCUUACCCAAGUCCUUCCUCCUCAUCAUCCCAAUCUCAGUGCGUGGUACCAGCA